ACACGACUACAUUAGAUACCCGUGUAGUCCUAGCCGUAAACGAUACUCGCUAGGUGUCGGCCACGGUGCGACCGUUGUCGGUGCCGUAGGGAAGCCGUGAAGCGAGCCACCUGGGAAGUACGGCCGCAAGGCUGAAACUUAAAGGAUUGGCGGGGAGCACAACAACGGGUGGAGCUUGCGGUUUAAUUGGAUUCAACGCCGGAAAUCUUACCGGGACCGACAGCAACAUGAAGGCCAAGCUGAAGACUUUGCCGGAUUAGCUG
rnacentral:rRNA from 1 species